rnacentral:tRNA from 1 species
CGGGGCGUAGCUCAGGGGUAGAGUGCGUGCUUUGGGAGCACGAAGUCGCAGGUUCAAAUCCUGUCGCCCCGACCA